UACGUAGGGAGCAAGCGUUGUCCGGAAUCAUUGGGCGUAAAGCGCGCGUAGGCGGCCCUGUAAGUCCGUUGUGAAAGUCAAAGGCUCAACCUUUGAAAGCCGAUGGAUACUGCAGGGCUAGAGUUCAGAAGAGGCGAGUGGAAUUCCUGGUGUAGCGGUGGAAUGCGCAGAUAUCAGGAGGAACACCAAUAGCGAAGGCAGCUCGCUGGGACGAUACUGACGCUAAGGCGCGGAAGCGUGGGGAGCAAACAGG
rnacentral:rRNA from 1 species